GGAGAGGUGCCCGAGUGGCUAAAGGGGGCAGACUGUAAAUCUGCUGGCUAACGCCUACGCUGGUUCGAAUCCAGCCCUCUCCA
rnacentral:tRNA from 1 species